rnacentral:rRNA from 1 species
GGACUACCCGGGUAUCUAAUCCCGUUUGCUCCCCCAGCUUUCGCGCCUCAGCGUCAAGAACAGGCCAGGAAGUCGCCUUCGCCACUGGUGUUCCUCCGGAUAUCUACGCAUUUCACCACUACACCCGGAAUUCCACUUCCCUCUCCUGCCUUCAAGUUGAUCAGUAUCGAAUGACCCUCCCCAGUUGAGCCGGGGGCUUUCACAUUCGACUUAAUCAACCGCCUGCGCGCUCUUUACGCCCAGUAAAUCCGGACAACGCUUGCCACCUACGUAUUACCGCGGCGGCUGGCAC